rnacentral:siRNA from 1 species
AUCCACACUAAUUUUGCGAGGUUC